rnacentral:rRNA from 1 species
CAAUAGCGUAUAUUAAAGUUGUUGCAGUUAAAAUGCUCGUAGUUGGAUUUGUGGCGUACGGUGUGUUCCGGGCACUUGUUGUCUGAGUAACCUGCUGUUGCCAUCCUUGGGUGGAACCUGUGUGGCAUUAGGUUGUCGUGCAGGGGAUGCCCAUCAUUUACUGUGAAAAAAUUAGAGUGUUCAAAGCAGGCUUAUGCCGUUGAAUAUAUUAGCAUGGAAUAAUGAGAUAGGACUUUUUUGCUAUUUUGUUGGUUUGCGCAAAGAGGUAAUGAUUAAUAGGGACAGUUGGGGGUAUUCGUAUUCCAUUGUCAGAGGUGAAAUUCUUGGAUUUUUGGAAGACGAACUACUGCGAAAGCAUUUACCAAGGAUGUUUUCAUUAA